UACGUAGGUGGCAAGCGUUGUCCGGAGUUAUUGGGCGUAAAGCGCGCGCAGGCGGUGCGGUAAGUCUCUGGUGAAAGCGCUCGGCUUAACUGGGCGAGGGCCGGGGAGACUGCCACGCUGGAGGGGAGCAGAGGCGAGUGGAAUUCCGGGUGUAGUGGUGAAAUGCGUAGAGAUCCGGAGGAACACCAGUGGCGAAGGCGGCUCGCUGGGCUCUACCUGACGCUGAGGCGCGAAA
rnacentral:rRNA from 1 species